rnacentral:rRNA from 1 species
AGCUGCCACCACACCACCUUGAACACACCCGGUCUCAUCUGAUUUGGGAAGCUGAUCACAGUCAGGCUUGGUUAAUACUUGGAAGGGAGGCCACCAGGGGAUACCAGGGAUCUCCAGGUA